CAAUAGCGUAUAUUAAAGUUGUUGCAGUUAAAAAGCUCGUAGUUGGAUUUGUGGCGUACGGUGUGUUCCGGGCAAUUGUUGUCUGAGUAACCUGCUGUUGCCAUCCUUGGGUGGAACCUGUGUGGCAUUAGGUUGUCGUGCAGGGGAUGCCCAUCAUUUACUGUGAAAAAAUUAGAGUGUUCAAAGCAGGCUUAUGCCGUUGAAUAUAUUAGCAUGGAAUAAUGAGAUAGGACUUUUUUGCUAUUUUGUUGGUUUGCGCAAAGAGGUAAUGAUUAAUAGGGACAGUUGGGGGUAUUCGUAUUCCAUUGUCAGAGGUGAAAUUCUUGGAUUUUUGGAAGACGAACUACUGCGAAAGCAUUUACCAAGGAUGUUUUCAUUAA
rnacentral:rRNA from 1 species